GGGAACAUGUGAGUGUGACAAAAAAGGAAAAAGAAUAUAUAUUAAAUAAGAUCAUUUUAAUACGAAAGUGGUAAUAUGAAGUUAACUUGGAUUAAUUGAUCAAUAAAGUGGUAAUAUUUUUAUCUACGUAUCAAUACUGUAUUGAUCAACUUACCAAUAAUAAACAGAUCCAUAAAAUAUGUUUGACAAUAAUAAUUAUUUUCUACAAUUUACUUAUUACUCCAUCCAUUUCCAAUCGAGAGAAUAAUCAACCAUUUAUAUGAUGAAUGUAAUAAGUUUGAGGGAAUAAAAACAAUUCUUAUGUUUCUAAUUUUCUAUUUAUUGAUGAAAUCUAAGUAAUAAGUUGUACAUUCUCUGCUGUGUACAUAAUAUAAUACUCCCUUUUGAACAUAAUUUCCCCACCCACCAUAUUCUCUGUUUGGACAAGCCUCUAAAACAACAAAUCACGAAACCUCUGUUUUGCUCCAUACUAGAAGAAAUCCAUCACGUUUUGUAAUUACUGGAAAAUUCUACUUUUCUCACAAACAGAUGCCAAAGAUUUCCAUAUUUGCUGCAUAACUCUUUGUGGUCAAUCUUUGACAAACCUGCAUUCGGGCUGAAUUUUGGGACAACUUUGCCAUUUCAUACAAGGUUUUCAAGAUCCAUGGAGAAAUACCCAGAUCAUCAAUCAUUCAUCGGAGACGUGGAAUAGAUUUAAUUAAAAUUGGUUAAUUGUGGUCUCGAUCAUUCCAACAAAGAAGCAUAGUAACACAACGUCUAAGGAUGUAAAUCCUGGUUUUAUGCUGCUUCGCCACCGAAAAACACCGUUUGGGGAAUCCGGCAGCUCUGCAGCGGCUUUUCCGGCGAGAAUCCAGUGCUGGGAAUAGAUAAGAAAGUGACAUGAUUUUGGGACGAACUAUCAAAGAAGAAGAAGGAGAAAGUUUGGAUUAUGAAACACUCAAUGGGUUUAGUGUUGUGUUUUAUAGGGAGAGGGCGUUAGACAUUGGUCCCAUUUUUUAAUUUUAUGUCAUUUCAACUGGAUAAUGACUUUUUGUUUUUUUAGAGACAGUGGAGCAUAUAAUAAAUGUAAUAAAUAACGG
rnacentral:lncRNA from 1 species